GAGGAGCCUGCGUCCGAUUAGCUAGUUGGCGGGGUAAAGGCCCACCAAGGCGACGAUCGGUAGCUGGUCUGAGAGGACGACCAGCCACACUGGGACUGAGACACGGCCCAGACUCCUACGGGAGGCAGCAGUGGGGAAUUUUUCGCAAUGGGGGCAACCUGACGAAGCAAUGCCGCGUGGAUGAAGAAGGCCUUCGGGUUGUAAAGUCCUUUCGUGGGGGACGAAAAGGUGGGUUCUAAUACAAUCUGCUGUUGACGUGAACCCAAGAAGAAGCACCGGCUAACUCCGUGCCAGCAGC
rnacentral:rRNA from 1 species